rnacentral:rRNA from 1 species
AGAGUUUGAUCAUGGCUCAGGAUGAACGCUAGCGACAGGCCUAACACAUGCAAGUCGAGGGGCAGCAUGGUAUCAGCUUGCUGAUACCGAUGGCGACCGGCGCACGGGUGAGUAACGCGUAUGUAAUCUACCUGUAACAGAGGGAUAACCCGGAGAAAUCCGGACUAAUACCUCAUAGCACAUAUUAUUCGCAUGUAAUUUUAUGUUAAAGAGACUCGGUUACAGAUGAACAUGCGUUCCAUUAGCUGGUUGGGCGGGGUCACGGCCCACCAAGGCAACGAUGGAGUAGGGGUUCUGAGAGGAACGGUCCCCCACACUGGUACUGAGACACGGACCAGACUCCUACGGGAGGCAGCA